AAGGGGAGCAAUCCCUGAGUAAAGUGGCGACCGGGUGAGUAACACGUGACUAACCUACCCUCGAGUGUGGAAUAACAUCGGGAAACCGAUGCUAAUACCGCAUAACAUCGCAAGAUCAAAGGAGCAAUCCGCUUGAGGAGGGGGUCGCGGCUGAUUAGCUAGUUGGCGGGGUAACGGCCCACCAAGGCGAAGAUCGGUAGCCGGCCUGGGAGGGCGCACGGCCACACUGGAACUGAAACACGGUCCAGACUCCUACGGGAGGCAGCAGUGGGGAAUUUUGCGCAAUGGGGGAAACCCUGACGCAGCAACGCCGCGUGGAGGAUGAAGCCCCUUGGG
rnacentral:rRNA from 1 species